rnacentral:rRNA from 1 species
UAUCAAUAAGCGGAGGAAAAGAAACCAACAGGGAUUGCCUUAGUAACGGCGAGUGAAGCGGCAACAGCUCAAAUUUGAAAUCUGGCUCCCUUGGGGGCCCGAGUUGUAAUUUGUAGAGGAUGCUUCGGCGUGGGCCCCGGUCUAAGUUCCUUGGAACAGGACGUCACAGAGGGUGAGAAUCCCGUACGUGGCCGUGGGUGCUCGCCAUGUGAAGCUCCUUCGACGAGUCGAGUUGUUUGGGAAUGCAGCUCUAAAUGGGAGGUAAAUUUCUUCUAAAGCUAAAUACUGGCCAGAGACCGAUAGCGCACAAGUAGAGUGAUCGAAAGAUGAAAAGCACUUUGGAAAGAGAGUCAAAAAGUACGUGAAAUUGUUGAAAGGGAAGCGCUUGCAACCAGACCUGCCUGCGGUUGCUCAUCCGGGCUCUUGCCCGGUGCACUCUUCCGCAGUCAGGCCAGCAUCAGCUCUGGCGGUCGGAUAAAGGCGGCGGGAAUGUGGCUCCCCUCGGGGAGUGUUAUAGCCCGCCGUGCAAUGCGGCCAGCCGGGACUGAGGUCCGCGCUUCGGCUAGGAUGCUGGCGUAAUGGUUGUAAGCGGCCCGUCUUGAAACACGGACCAAGGAGUCUAACAUCUGUGCGAGUGUUUGGGUGUCAAGCCCAGGCGCGUAAUGAAAGUGAACGGAGGCGGGAACCUUCGGGUGCACCGUCGACCGAUCCUGAUGUCUUCGGAUGGAUUUGAGUAAGAGCAUAGCUGUUGGGACCCGAAAGAUGGUGAACUAUGCCUGAAUAGGGUGAAGCCAGAGGAAACUCUGGUGGAGGCUCGCAGCGGUUCUGACGUGCAAAUCGAUCGUCAAAUUUGGGCAUAGGGGCGAAAGACUAAUCGAACUAUCUAGUAGCUGGUUCCUGCCGAAGUUUCCCUCAGGAAA